rnacentral:lncRNA from 1 species
AUGGUGGCCAGGCCACAGCCACCCGGACGUUUGCGAGCGCCGAAGGUGGGCCUGGAGGCGGGGACCUGGCCCUGCGGGGCCGGUGCGUGCGGGGCCCGGCUGAGCCGCCGGCUCCACCGGCAAGGAACCGGGCUCCCGCCUUCCCUGCCACACCGGGAGUGUGUGAGGGGGGACCCUCGGCCGGCAGGGGGCGCUCUCGGCCACUCCAUCCGCCCGGUCACCGCGGGAUCCCGCUGCUCCAGCCCGCCGGUGCCGCCGUCCCGCCUCCUCCCUCAGCCCAGCUCUGCCUCCGCCUUCGCUCCCCGACCCCUCCCUUCUCCCUCUCAGUCCCGCAGGGAAGCUGGGCUGGGCGAGAGGGUGUCUCCUGGGUCCACCGUGGAAGCCCGAGGCGCGGGUGCGGAGCCAGCCCAGGGCUGCCGGCGUGAGCUGCAGGGCUGGCCUGGUGCUCAUCCUCUGCCCGGGGCGCGGGGAAGGCGAGGGUCGCUGUGCUGGAUCUGUGUGCUCAGUGGCCACGCGUCGGCCUCAGGAACGGGAACGAGGCGAGAGACACAGAUGUGGGUGAUUUCCCUGUGGAAGCUGUACCCGAGGCCGUGGGAGUGGAGGGCACUGGGCUGCGAAUGGAGACAGGAUGCCCCGAGGGCCCGGGAGCGGGAGGUGGAGCGGGUCCCAGACGGCAGGGGCUCGGAGUGGGAGGCAGCGGGACUGAGAGAGCCGCGCCAGGGCCGCAGGGGUGCGCAGGGAGCUUCCUGCCCUUUGCACCUCAGGCUCCGGGAGCUGAUUUGUUUCACCUUGGGCAGGUGCAGGAUCUGCGCUUGCAGCCACCUUACUUCGUGGGCUGUACCUGAGGUGACAGGCAGGGUCUUCUCUGAUGAAGUUACCCACACGAGUCACCACGGGAUGACGGUGAGCAGGUGCCACGGAAGGUGUGUAAAAAUCGCUCCAGUGGUGAAUUGGAAACACCCAGUGCCAGGAAGUGCUUCCACAGGCUUAAUGCAUCUCUGCUCCUUCUUUUUUCAGAAAAAUUCAAAGUGUUUAGACGGGGGAUGCUGAGAGAGAAGCCGGCUUGCUGGGAGGUGCGAGCCCAGAGCACACGCUCCACCUAGACUGCGGGCAGUGCCCCACCAUGAGGAGCUCAGCAGUUUCUUCACGUGGUGGUUUCCACCAUGCAAAAACAUCCAAGAUCUAUUGUUUAUGUAGCUUGUACUUAGGGUCAGGCCCCGGUUCAAUUCCUAACAUUGACAUUUUGUAUUUGUGUGACUAAUACACGUGUUAUUAAGAAAGUUACUACUGUCUUUAAGAUGCAGUUUCCUCAUCUGUGAAAUGGAAUAUUUGUGUAUUCCAUAUGUUAUAUAAUAUUACUGCCUGCUUAACCUUGGCCUAGUGUUUGAAGGACACAAAUCCUGAGUCUAGCACAGAGCAGGUGCUUAAUGAAUACCCCAGACACGGAGGAAGGCAGCAUCUGGAUUCCAAGUUCUUUUCCUGUAUAUACAUUUAUAUCUCUCUGAAUAGGCAUCUGCGUGUGUUUCUUUUAUUAUAGACAGGUUGUCUGAUCUCAAUCCGUUAGAGAUGGGGUAGCCUUAGGGACCCUCUGGUCCCACAUCUCACUGUACAGGGGAUGCAGGAUUUGCCAAGGUCCUACCCAUUAGUGAGUAGCAGAGCCUGGAUGAGUUCCUCGGAUCAGGAGGAGGCGGUGUGCUCCUGUCCUCCUGUGAGAUGAAGCCAUUCUUAAUCCCAGCCUCGGAUCAGGAGGAGGGGCUGUGCUCCUGUUCUCCUGUGAGAUGAAGCUGUGCUCAACCCCGGCCUCGGAUCAGGAGGAGGGGCUGUGCUCCUGUCCUCCUGUGAGAUGAGGCCAUGCUCAAUCCCAGGACAGGUGCAGGCGAUUGCUUUCACCUUCUAACUUUAGAAUCUGGAGAGUCCGCAUAGCUCCUACUUUCGAAGCUGCCUCAGAGAGUCUUUGUUAUUGCAAAAUGCGUGUGGGCAGGCUGGACCAGGCAGUGGAUCUUGUUGUUUUGUUAGGGAGAAAGGAAAACUGAAGUUCCAUCACCUGCCAGUUAGUCUUGGUCUACCUCCAACCCAAACUUGGGCUCAGUGAAGCAGAUUAAUAAAGCAAUGGGGCAUCUCUGGCUGCUGCGAGCACCAUGAAUAUGCAUGCAGUGCAGGCCACCGGCUGGAACGCUUUUCCCACCCUGGAAUUCGCCAGUCACGUUUCUACUCUCUGGGUUUCUUUCUAAGUUGAAAGAUUCUGGAAUUGUGGAGCUGGAAGGGAUAUUAGUGAAGACCAUCUGGUCCAGUGUCCUCAUUUUACAGAUGAGCUAACUGAGGCCAGAGGGGAAGGGCCACUCCAGGGCACACUGCGAAUGGCUCCCAAACCCAGGACCAGGCCAGAUCUCGCAGCUCUUGCUCCAGAGGAUGCUUAGUGCCUGCAGUGCUUAGGGCACUCAUUUUUUUGCUGAAUUUUGUUUAUUGAGACCAUAUGGAAAGCGAGUUGAGGCUGAAGUUACAUGCAUUCAGGACCAAGAGAAAUGCAAUUGAUCACAAGAUCCUUCUGUGUUGGGCCGCUGAGCAAAUCGUGGGGUCACCCUCUCUCUUAGCAGUACAGGCUAUGUCGAUAUGAUGAUAUCACCUUAGAGCUAAUGAAAUGCAUUCCUGAGAAAUAAAAUGAUCGUUUCUGUUUUCUGCAGAGCAAUUCCAAAUGAGAGAAGCAAUAACACUUUUUAUGACCUAUUCAAAUCACUCUCAUUUCACUAAACAACCUUCACACCUGUGGCAGUUCUUGCUUCCCUCGCAGGGGAACUACCCUGAUGUCGGAGAAAACUAUCCUUGAGUGAGGCCUGACACUAUGCCUGUGAUGAUGUGAGCCAUCUGCAAAAUUCACCGUGGAGGACAGAAUGCCACUUAGGCUAAAGCAGGAGGAAGGGGCCUAUAAUUCUCGUCAUCUUUUGUUUGAAUGCAAACGAAACUACAGCCCAGGAAAUAAAUUCAAUGUACUUUGACAAAACAUGGGUAAUCUUACCAGCAUAGUCUCAAGUGGAGAAAGGUGACCACCUAAACUAAGAAUCAACAAAAAUCAAACAAAAUGAAACAUGUUGUUUAGAAAUGCAUUCAUUUGUGAUAAAACUGUUUUUAAAAAGCAAGAACAUGAUAGACACCCAAUUUGGGAUAGUGGCCAUGUUUAGAGGGCUGCAGGGGGGAUGCUGUGUAGGAGAGGCACAGAAAAUUGGUGUUGUUUGUAAAUUCGGGGGUGAGUUAAAAAAGUAGGGAAGAAGGAAGAUACCAAACCAACUUCUGGACAGAACUUCUGACUUUGUAGCAGCCUUGCAGUCUUUAUUAAGCAAGAUGCGUUAUGCCAAUGAUUUCAGAUAAUUUACUAGCAAGAGGAUACUCAAUUCUAUCUUGUUUACGAAUGAAAACUCCAAAAUAAAUGAGGCUCUGUGCCGCGGCACCUCGUUAUUUCUUGUUCUGCAGUGA